CAUCAGUAACGGCGAGUGAAGCGGCAACAGCUCAAAUUUGAAAUCUGGCCUCUGGCCCGAGUUGUAAUUUGCAGAGGAUGUUUCUGGCGAGGUGCCUUCCGAGUUCCCUGGAACGGGACGCCAUAGAGGGUGAGAGCCCCGUACGGUUGGUCGCUAAGCCUCUGUGAAACUCCUUCGACGAGUCGAGUAGUUUGGGAAUGCUGCUCUAAAUGGGAGGUGUACGCCUUCUAAAGCUAAAUAUAGGCUAGAGACCGAUAGCGCACAAGUAGAGUGAUCGAAAGAUGAAAAGCACUUUGAAAAGAGGGUUAAAUAGUACGUGAAAUUGUUGAAAGGGAAGCGCUCUUGACCAGACUUGCGCCGGUUGAUCAUCCACCGUUCUCGGUGGUGCACUCUGCCGGCUCAGGCCAGCAUCAGUUCGGCUUGGGGGAUAAAGGCUUCGGGAAUGUGGCUCUCUCCGGGGAGUGUUAUAGCCCGUUGCGUAAUACCCUGGGCCGGACUGAGGUUCGCGCAUCUGCAUGGAUGCUGGCGUAAUGGUCAUCAGUGACCCGUCUUGAAACACGGACCAAGGAGUCGUCUUCGUAUGCGAGUGUUCGGGUGUCAAACCCCUACGCGUAAUGAAAGUGAACGUAGGAGAGAGCUUCGGCGCAUCUCCGACCGAUCCUGAUGUUCUCGGAUGGAUUUGAGUAAGAGCAUACGGGGCCGGACCCGAAAGAAGGUGAACUAUGCCUGUAUAGGGUGAAGCCAGAGGAAACUCUGGUGGAGGCUCGCAGCGGUUCUGACGUGCAAAUCGAUCGUCAAAUAUGGGCAUGGGGGGCGAAAGACUAAUCGAACCUUCUAGUAGCUGGUUUCCGCCGAAGUU
rnacentral:rRNA from 1 species